CUCUAAACUUUACACUGAGAGUGAGCUUUUAAGCGACUCUCAUGAUGAUGCAGAGAAGUCAAUAACUAACGCGUCUUCGCCAAAUUAAUCUACACCACAGCAAACUAGCGUCUCUAGCCCUAGUUAACCGCAUGGCAGAAGAACGGCCUGACUUUGUCCUCUUUCAGGAGCCAUGGGUUAACGGAGUGCGUAUUUGCGGUCUAAGGACACCAGGAUAUAAUCUAUACGCGAAUGGUUGUGUAGUUACAGUAGUAACGACACUACGGUGGUAAGCUGGGAGACGGGCAAGAAAAAAUACCGGCUAGCAUCAUGCUACAUGCCGUAGGACGAGGUAGCAGUACCAUCGCAGCUGUUCAAAGAGCUGGUACGAGACGCCGAAGCAUCCAAGUGUUCGAUUAUACUUGGGUGCGACUCCAAUGCGCAGCAUACUCUAUGGGGAAGCAAGGACAUUAACGAAAGGGGUUCAAUAUGCAUCACUAGGCGGCUCUUCUGACGAUGAAAAUCUCUUGGGUGUAACUGUACAUUUUUAACAUUCAAUUUAAAAUAUUGGUAUUUUAGAUUUUUUGGCCCUUAAUUAGCCAUAAAAUUAUUACAUAUAUUUUGAUGGCAACGAUCUUAUUGAAACUGAAGGUAUUUUUAAUAAAAUUAAACUGAAAUUGAUGCAUACCAAAUAUAAGUUGAAAUUAAACUGGUGACACUGUAAUGAAUUUGUCUUGUAAUGUUUGGUCCACAUGAACAUGGCCCAUAUGUUCCAUUGCUUAUGACCAACACUUUGUCAAAGUAGGAUAGAAAUCGAAACACUUCAAUGACUGCUCAGACUUUAUGAUUUUUCUGAUUUAUUCCCUCAUUUUAAGGAUAUAUUAGAAUAAGGAAACAA